AGAAGCAGUUUUUUCAGGGCAAGAUCUUGGCACGAAAUCACACGAGAUCACCCUUGUGGGUGGCAGGUUCUGUAAUCAAUCCAGAUGGAAAGUGGCCUGUUGAGGAAGAGCAGGAAUAAUUCUGGACUGAGGGAAAUGACAUUUUUGUGCUGCAGGGGGGAGCCCCUGGGUGAGUCAGACCAAAAGCCCAUCUGUCCCGGGAAAGAAUCAUAGAAUCACAUACCCUCCAACAUUUCUCUGAUGAAAAUAGGGACAUCCCAUUCUGUAAUGAUUAUUUUAUUUAUUUAUACCCCACACAUCUUACUUGGUUGCCCCAGUCACUCUAGGCAGCUUCCAACAUAUAUAAAAAACAUAAUAAACCAUUAAACUUUUUUGUUUAAACUUCCCUAUGAACCACCUUCAGACAGCUUGAGGGUUAGAUAACUCCAUGCCUAAGGAAAAGUGGGACAUUUCGGGAUCAAAUCAGAAAUCGGGACGGCUUCUCUAAAUCAGGGACAUCCCUGGAAAAUAGGGACCCUUGGAGGGUCUGGAAUCAUAGAACUGUAGAGUUG